CCUACGGGAGGCAGCAGUAGGGAAUAUUGCUCAAUGGGGGAAACCCUGAAGCAGCAACGCCGCGUGGAGGAUGAAGGCUUUCGGAUUGUAAACUCCUUUUGUUAGAGAAGAUAAUGACGGUAUCUAACGAAUAAGCACCGGCUAACUCCGUGCCAGCAGCCGCGGUAAUACGGAGGGUGCAAGCGUUACUCGGAAUCACUGGGCGUAAAGAGCGCGUAGGCGGGAUAGCAAGUCAGAUGUGAAAUCCUAUGGCUUAACGAUAGAACUGCAUUUGAAACUGUUAUUCUAGAGUAUGGGAGAGGUAGGUGGAAUUCUUGGUGUAGGGGUAAAAUGCGUAGAGAUCAAGAGGAAUACUCAUUGCGAAGGCGACCUGCUAGAACAUAACUGACGCUGAUGCGCGAAAGCGUGGGGAGCAAACAGGAUUAGAUACCCGAGUAGUC
rnacentral:rRNA from 1 species